ensembl:lncRNA
AAAGCUGUAGUAGUAGAAAAAGCUGUAAUAAUGAUAAGUGUGACAAAGGAAAAAAAAAAAAAAAACAUAAAGAUACUGAUGAAGAGAACAAAACAGUUUUUGAUUCGUAUAAACAAAAUAAAACCGAAAAAAAUAAUUCUUCAGCACUUGAAAAAAAAAAAAAAAAAAAAAAUGAUAGUAGCGAUGAAUACCACAGUGCUAAUACGUCAGAGAGCGAAAAUAAUGAUUUGAACGAUUUGAAAAAAGUACCAAACAAAAAUAAAAUAAGGAGUUCAUUCAAUGAAAGUAAAUAUACAAAUAAAAACGGAGCAGAAAAAAAUGUAAAAAGAUGUAGUAGUCGUAGUGAAAGUUAUAGUAGUAAACAUAAUAAAAAUAUAAAAAACGAAAUGUUAGAAGUAAAUAAAAAUAAAGAAUACUCAAAGAGGUAUAAUAACAAUAUAUAUAAUAAAUCAAAUAGUAACAUAAAAAAUAAUAAACAAAUGUUGUUUGAUAGUGAGAAGGAAAAAAAAAAAAAAGGAGAAAAAAACGAAACAGAAAUAGAAGGUAAAAAAUGGGAAGAACAAAAAAAAAGAAAAAUGACGCAUCAACGACGCGGUGAUAAUAUAACGAAAAAAAAAAAAACGAAACAUAAAAGUAAGUAUAGUAGUAGUGUUAGUAGUAGUAGUAGUAGUAGUAGUAGUAGUAGUGUUAGUAACAUUAGUGUUAGUAACAUUAGUGUUAGUAACAGUAGUAAUAAAAGUAAUAGCAGUGAUCGUAGUGAAAAAUCAAAAGGUGAUACACAAAAACAAAGAAAACUUAUAGAUACUAAAGAGAAAAACAAAAAAAGUAACAAUAAAAAUAAAAUGCUACUUGAGGUAGACUAUAAAAAAAAGAGAGCUAAGAAUUCUAAGAAUAAAGGUACACCUGAUGAACACAAUGUUUUUGAUAUAAAAAUGAAUGAAAGAAAAAAAAAGCAAAAUGAGCAAUAUGAACAUGCAAAAAUGGAAAAAAUGGAAAAAAUCGAAAAAAUCGAAAAAAUCGAAAAAAUCGAAAAAAUGGAAAAAAUCGAAAAAAUGGAAAAAAUGGAAAAAAUCGAAAAACGUGGAAAAUGUGUUAGAGAAGACAGUAAAUCAAGCGAAAUGGGUAACAACUACGACAUACAAAAAAAAGAUGGUCACAGUAGUAGUGAAGGAGAAAAGAAAAGUAUACAACUGUUGAACAAAUCGUAUAAAAAAUCAAAUAAUAAUAGAAAAAAAAAAAAAUUAUUAAGAAGUAGCUCAAUAGAAAGUAAUAUAGAUGUGGAAAUGCAGAAACAUAGAAAUAAGUAUUAUGAUAAAAAAAAAUAUAAAAGUAAUAGUAUAAAAAAAAGAGAAAGAAGAAGUCAUAGCUCAAACAAAUAUAGUAACAAUAAAUAUAAAAGAAUGGAUGAAAAAAGUGAUAUAUUUAGUAGUGAAAGUAUAUAUGAUAAAAGUAAAGAACAAACAAAGGAAAACCUAAAAGUAUAUAAUAAAAAAAGGGAACAGAAUAAAAAUAAAGUGGAAAAAUGGAAAGGAAUUAAACAUAUCAAGUCUAAUCAUAGACAGAGUGAGAGAAACAAACAUUGUGAAUAUUAUUUAAGCCACAGUAGUGUAAGUGGUCGUAAUGGUAGUAGUAGUGUAAGUGGUCGUAGUGGUCGUAGUGGUCGU